rnacentral:rRNA from 1 species
AGAAUGAACGCUGGCGGCGUGCUUUACACAUGCAAGUCGAGCGAGGCGUGUAGCAAUACACAGUCGAGCGGCGAACGGGUGAGUAACGCGUGGAUUAUCUGCCCUAAGGGUGGGGGGAUAACCCGGGGGAAACUCGGGCUAAUACCGCAUAUGACCGGAAGGUCAAAGGGGGGGUCGCAAGAUCUCUCGCCUUUGGAGGAGUCCGCGUUCGAUUAGCUAGUUGGUAGGGUAAUGGCCUACCAAGGCGACGAUCGAUAGCCGGCCUGAGAGGGUGAUCGGCCACACUGGAACUGAGACACGGUCCAGACUCCUACGGGAGGCAGCAGUGGGGAAUUUGCGCAAUGGGCUAACGCCUGACGCAGCAACGCCGCGUGGAGGAUGAAGGUCCUUGGAUUGUAAAACUCCUGUCAGCAGGGAAAAAGCAAACUUGACCUCAUACGUCAGGAGUUGAUUGUACCUGCAGAGAAGCCCCGGCUAACUCUGUCGCCAGCAGCCGCGGUAAUCUA